AUUAAGCAUGACCGAGUAUUUAUCUCAAUCGUAUUUUAAUGAUGCUUUCUGAUGGAUUGUUUUAUGAGUAGCUUCUUAAUCCUUACCUUCCACACAAGUAAGCUUACAUCAUAUUGGAACUAUGAUAACCAGAAAUAGGGUAGAUGUUUGCACCCAUUGCUAUUUCAUUGUUGAUCUGAAUGAAGCCUGAGCAAAGUAGAUUAUAGCAACCAGUGGCUUGAUAUGCGUCACUCUGUUGUUUAGUAAUAAAGAAAACAGAGUUAAACAACAGUUGAAUAGAACUGCAUCAUAGUAUUUGUGAUUAGUGA